UACGGGGGGGGCAAGCGUUGUUCGGAAUUACUGGGCGUAAAGGCUCGUAGGCGGCCAACUAAGUCAUACGUGAAAUCCCCCGGCUUAACCGAGGAACUGCGUCUGAUACUGGAUGGCUUGAGUUCGGGAGAGGGAUGCGGAAUUCCAGGUGUAGCGGUGAAAUGCGUAGAUAUCUGGAGGAACACCGGUGGCGAAGGCGGCAUCCUGGACCGAUACUGACGCUGAGGAGCGAAAGCCAGGGAGCAAACGGG
rnacentral:rRNA from 1 species